UGGGGAAUAUUGCACAAUGGGCGCAAGCCUGAUGCAGCCAUGCCGCGUGUGUGAAGAAGGCCUUCGGGUUGUAAAGCACUUUCAGCGAGGAGGAAGGUGGUGAGCUUAAUACGCUCAUCAAUUGACGUUACUCGCAGAAGAAGCACCGGCUAACUCCGUGCCAGCAGCCGCGGUAAUACGGAGGGUGCAAGCGUUAAUCGGAAUUACUGGGCGUAAAGCGCACGCAGGCGGUUUGUUAAGUCAGAUGUGAAAUCCCCGGGCUCAACCUGGGAACUGCAUUUGAAACUGGCAAGCUAGAGUCUCGUAGAGGGGGGUAGAAUUCCAGGUGUAGCGGUGAAAUGCGUAGAGAUCUGGAGGAAUACCGGUGGCGAAGGCGGCCCCCUGGACGAAGACUGACGCUCAGGUGCGAAAGCGUGGGGAGCAAACAGAUUAGAUACCCUGGUAGUCCACGCUGUAAAACGAUGUCGAUUUUGGAGGUUGUGCCCUUGAGGCGUGGCUUCCGGAGCUAACGCGUUAAAUCGACCGCCUGGGGAGUACGGCCGCAAGGUUAAAACUCAAAGGAAUUGAC
rnacentral:rRNA from 1 species